rnacentral:rRNA from 1 species
AAACCAACUGGGAUUACCUUAGUAACGGCCGAGUGAAGCGGUAAAAGCUCAAAUUUGAAAUCUGGUACUUUCAGUGCCCCGAGUUGUAAUUUGUAGAAUUUGUCUUUGAUUAGGUCCUUGUCUAUGUUCCUUGGAACAGGACGUCAUAGAGGGUGAGAAUCCCGUUUGGCGAGGAUACCUUUUUUCUGUAAGACUUUUUCGAAGAGUCGAGUUGUUUGGGAAUGCAGCUCAAAGUGGGUGGUAAAUUCCAUCUAAAGCUAAAUAUUGGCGAGAGACCGAUAGCGAACAAGUACAGUGAUGGAAAGAUGAAAAGAACUUUGAAAAGAGAGUGAAAAAGUACGUGAAAUUGUUGAAAGGGAAGGGCAUUUGAUCAGACAUGGUGUUUUUUGCAUGCACUCGCCUCUCGUGGGCUUGGGCCUCUCAAAAAUUUCACUGGGCCAACAUCAAUUCUGGCAGUAGGAUAAAUCAUUAAGAAUGUAGCUACCUCGGUAGUGUUAUAGCUUAUUGGAAUACUGCUAGCUGGGAUUGAGGACUGCGCUUCGGCAAGGAUGUUGGCAUAAUGGUUAAAUGCCGC